ACGAGACUGUGAAGUUAAGCAAAUCCCAAAAAUAAACGUCUCAGUUCGGAUUGUAGUCUGCAACUCGACUACAUGAAGCUGGAAUCGCUAGUAAUCGCAGAUCAGAAUGCUGCGGUGAAUACGUUCCCGGGUCUUGUACACACCGCCCGUCACACCAUGAGAGUUGGCAAUACCCAACGUACGUGAUCUAACCCGCAAGGGAGGAAGCGUCCUAAGGUAGGGUCAGCGAUUGGGGUGAAGUCGUAACAAGGUAUC
rnacentral:rRNA from 1 species